rnacentral:lncRNA from 1 species
GGAAAACUUGUAAGAGAAACUACUUGCAAAGAAUUUACAAAAGAGUUACAGAUACAAUGUUUAAUGCUGAUUCCCCAUGUUUAUGAGAUUACCAUCUUCUAAUGCCUAAGUUUCCAUUCAUUCACAUAGGAAAAGAAAAAUAAACUUUAAUUAGAGUUCAGUGUGGCCAUAUAUCUCUGGAAGGUAACAAUGAUGAGAGAGAAGAGAUGGACCUACUCUCUUUGAUUAAUUUUAUGUAGGUUUUCUUGGCAUGUUACAUGGUGUACAAGUCAGCUUUCUAGGUUACACUGAGGUAAAAAAAAUCUUCAAAUCUCAGAGGCUUACAACAACAACAGUUUAACAAUUGCUUAAGUUGAAUAUUGGCUGGAAAGACAGCUGACUAUUUCAGCUGAACUGUUCUGCUUAGAGGUUUAUUUUCUUUCCCAGUCCUGCUGAAGGAGCACCUUCUCUCUGCAAAAUGCCUUCUUUUGCUAGAGGACUACCAGAACCAUGCAUUGGCUCUUAAGGUUUCUGCUGACACGUCAUUGUCUAGCCUUACAAACAGAAACACAUGCCUCUGCCAGUCCCCACAUGGGAUCCCAGAUGAGAAACCUCUCAAGGAGAAUAACAAAAUGCAGUUGGAAUCAAAGUGUAUGAAGCCUCCCAGACACACCCAGCAGGAGUCACCAGGAAGCAGCUGGGAAGAGGCUGACAGCCCACCAGCAAUGAGACCACAGGAGCUGCUGCUCCCGGGAGGGAGUCUGCUGUCAUCCUCCACUUGCUAGAGUUCUCCCUCCUCUCUGCUUGUUACACACUGCUUCCCUGCUCUAGAGCUUGCUCCAGAGAUGACUUCAACAGAACAGAGUGGCUCUUCCUUACUUGAAACACAGAUCCAUUGUACCUGUGGCUUUGGCUCUGGAUUGUCUUUCUACUUAGAGGAGAACAAGGGUGUGACUGAGCCACAUGAUGGAAAGUAAAGGUACAACCAAAAAUUGUGGCGUUUCCUCUUGUUUAUGACAUUAAAUUUCCCUCAGCCUCUACCCUCAUGCUGCCUGCUUCUCUAAGGCUGCUCCCAGGGAACAAGUUAAUAAUCUCAAAUACAGUAAUUUUUGCCCCUUUCAGAGGUAAGAGUUUAACAGGGGACAAAGGACGAAUUUUCCAUCAUGGCAUUUCAAACAUCAGUAAAAUGUUGAUUAUUUUUCAGCACUCUUGAUAUUAUAUCUGAGUAGCUCUUGUAGAAAUUAAUGCAAGCUGUGUUUUCACUGCAAUGUGCCCUUACUGUAUUCACAUGCAGCGAGAGGUUAUGCUGAUGGAACUUGGCCAUGAUUUGUGAUAUUGUUUAUUUACAUGUAUUAAUAUAAAAUAAAAUGCAACGUGCUAAGUAACAUUUAAGCCCUCAUUAACCUGUUCCUGAACUAUUUUUCCAACUCCAUUGAU